GAUAACAUCAUGUGCAUCUGGACGCCUAAACAGAAUCGAGAACCAGAAAUUUGAGCCUGCCAUUAUGGAGGGGAAAACUGUUCUUCUUUGCCUAAUGGUGCUUGUGCUGCUAGGACAUUCAACUCAUGCUCGGAAUUGCUGUACCGAGUGUGCUUACACAAAUCCAUUUGUUUGUCUAGGUAAUACUUGCCAUAAAAAAUGCACAGAGAAGUGGGGAAAGCUCCUCAAUCAUUCUUCUUGUAAAGCUAAAGCAUUUUUCAAAGUCUCUUGUGAUUGUCUUGUCUGUGAUCUGUGACAAUAUCUUGUGGACUUUGCCAUCAUGUAAAAUCGUGAAAAAUGAUGUCCAGUAAUAAAACAUUAUGUUGACAUGCA